UUUCCCUUUUUUUCACAGCAGUUUGGUAAUUUUGAGCUUUUUUGUAGGUUGGAUGAUGUAAGUAGGUGGUGCUCUAUGCAACCUGAUGUUAAUGAGUUUGGCUUCUUGUGACACCUGCCUUCCAUGAAGGAUGUACUAUUUAGCUGCAGAAGUAACUUGGUGACAUGUGGAGCGUUCAGGACCAGUAACUGAGAUGAUGCCAUUCACCCAAGCAGUUGGUGCUUUUGAUCAGUCUACCAUGUGUGGGAUGUAGGUUUACUGCUGUGAUCCUUGAAGGAGUUUGAUACAAGAUGCAUAAAGGCACUGGGAUGAUUUCAUUUUUCUAAGGAGGUGGUGCUCUGAGACCCUGAUGUUGAUGACUCUUCAUUCUUGUGAUACAUGAUUUAUCCGUACUUUGAUCUAUAAAGAGACUCCUAGUUUCAAGAUCAUCUACCACAAGAUGAACAGAGUGCCGUCUCGAUCUUCUCAGUUGCUUUCCACUGCUUCAGGACAAACCUGGACCCAAUUUCAUAGCACUGCUUAAUGGCAACAACUUUUCAUGCUUAUUGUGGCAUUAGGCAGCCAUCUUGCGCAUUCACCUUUUCUUUGUAUUGUUUACGUCAUUCAUUUUCACACCAAAAGGUUUGCGUAACUUUUUGCACCAAAAGGUAAGCACCAAAAGGUUUGCGUAACUUUUUGUGUGCUUACAGUUUAAUAGCAGCGCUAUGAAAUGGAAACUUGCACAGUAAGCACAAAGUUGGCCGUUAGACAGCUCUAUGAAAUUGGGCCCUGGUGAUAUUGAAUCUAGUACUUGCCUCCUUUAGGUUUUUUCUGCCAUUCAAAAUGCAGUUGCAAAAGUAACAAACACAAAUAUUUCAACAAAUUUUCAAAAUUGUCCGAUCAAAAAAGUGCAUUUCUGGUGUUUUGUUUCCCUAUGGUAACUGCAUAAGAAAGGCAGAAAAGACCCUUGGGGAAAAAGUUUAUAGAGACACGUUACCCUCGAUUGAGCGUUUUGGUUUACAAAUCAUUGAUUUACACAAAUUCGCCAUGCAAUUGUGUGGUUCUACUUUGUGAACUAUAACAUGGUCCACCAAUUUGUAGUACAAAUGUUUUGACUCCACAAAAUGGCGGACCGUGUUUAGUUCAUGAAGCAAACAGGAAACCACACAGGCAUACUUCUUAGAACAUCUUUCCAACCAUUUUUAUCUCAUAACAAAUGUUUUAAGCACUUUUUACAGGCAAAAGCGCCUGAUCCAAGGCAACGUGUCCCUUUAAUAUGCAGUUAAAGGCAGUGGACAUGUUUGGUAAUUACUCACAAUAUUAAUUAGCAUAAUAAACUUACUCGAAACGAGCAUGGGAGAGCCGGUGAUACAACAUUGUGAAAAACGACUC